UACCAAGAGAUCAAGUUAUGUAUAUUAAGGUAAAAAGGCAGUUAAAUACAGAAAUCGGUUAUCAAUUUACUAAUUUCUUAUAGAAAGGUAAAAUUUAGAUAUAAGUGAAUAAUUUAAUGUAAGUUGUUUAAGAAAUUGAAUCUGCGACAGCCUUGAGGGAAACUGGGAUUAGAUACCCCAUUAUUCUUGGCUAUAAAUAAAUAGAGAUUUACCGGAGUACUAUGAAUCAAUUUAACAAAAUUUAAAACUCAAAGAGCUUGGCGGUGUUUUAGACCUCUCAGGGGAACCUGUCUCAUAAUCGACAAUCCACGUUAAACCUAACCCCUAUUUGCAACUCAGUUUGUAUACCGUCGUCGUCAGGUAACUUUUAAAAAACAAGAAGUUGGCAAAAGAAUUAUUUAAAUUUAAACGUCAGAUCAAGGUGCAGCUCAUGUAGGGGUGAGGAUGGGUUACAAUUAAAAUUUAUAACUACGGAUAGAAUAAUGAAAAUUUUUUUCUAAUGAAGGAGGACUGAAAGUAAAAUAAAUUACAUAAAUGCUUUGAAUAAGGCUCUGAAACGUG
rnacentral:rRNA from 1 species